rnacentral:rRNA from 1 species
AUGUAUCAAAACCGAAAAGUUGUUUUCUGGAACAUGCGCGGUCUUAACAAUGGGGCCAAACACACGGCGGUCCGUUCUGUCAUCUCAGCUGCUUCUCCAUGCAUAGUUUGUCUUCAAGAGACGAAGCUCUCCAAUGUUACCCCCCAAAUCGUCACAGAAACUUUGGGAGGGGCCUUCUAGGACUUCUACUUCCUCCCCACUGAUGGCACCCGCAGUGGCAUCCUUCUCGCGUGGUAG